GUUUCUUGUCCUAAAAGAAGUCGAAAAAGAAAGGAAUCAGAACGGGCAAGAUUUUAAUCUUUGAUCCCACCACCGCUUGAAAUGGCGGUUUUCUAUCCCUUUUGGCAGAGUAAUUCGCGGGCAAUUACGGUAGACUCCGAACUGGAUCGAAUCGGAAAAUUCCCAAUCGAAGAUGAUCCAGGCAGAAUUGAAAUGAACUUGAGAUCGGAGUUUGUUAAGCCUCAAGCGACGACCAGAGAGAGGGCGGGGGGAAGAGGAAGUGGGCAAAGCAUGUUCAAUUCAAUGGAACUGGAAUCGGAGACUUCCAGGUGAAACAUCUAAUGGGUAUCAACAGAAGCUAGCCUAUGGAUUCAAUGCACUAGUAGGUCGUCGUUAAUGAUGGUGGUCGUGGGCCGUGGUUUGUUCCCUUGGCCGGUGUAAUUCAGUGAUUCUUGGGCUACUUUCUAACCUAGGCUUCCGUUGCUGGGGUCUCCCUUCGGCCGCCGGGUCUCGCUAUGUGCCUUUCCAUGUCGGUGGCUGCUCAUGCUCAGAGCUUCUUCGACACGGCUAACGUUGUCACUGGCGUUCGGAAUUUCCCUAGUGGGAAGGCCGAUUAUGUUUGAAUUCUGGAGGACAAGCAAUAUUAUGUGUUAGCAUACCUGCAGAGGUAGGCAUAUAUGCAUAAUCAUCUAUAUUUAAGGAGGAAAUGAUUGAAUUAUAGUUCUUCUUGUGGAGUGAUUUGGUCUGGCUUAGAGAUGAAAGCGCCAUUACAUUAGAUCGCAUUGAUAGUAAAAACUGAGAUUGACAUGAACACACACACACUCAUGUUCAAGUGACAUCUUGAAGGACGAUAAGGUUCUGAUAAAUUUCUACAGAAAAUCCUGUAUCUGUUGUGCAUUUUGUAUUUUGUUCCAUUUAUGGACGUGUGAGAGCUGCUUUGUUUAAUUUAGGUGGACGAUUUCAUCUUUCCACCUCACUUUGGUUUAAAUGUAUGACCGAAAACUUUGUGCAAAAUUUAGAAGUUGUGUAGGUUGUAUAAUGAACAUUACAAAACUCGAACUCAAUCUCAAAGAAAACUCGAGUCUCAUUCCUUUCUUCCAAGUGGGAUUCAGCAUCACUGGUCCACUGCUUUAAGUAGUUUUUGCAGGGUCUUGUGUGAAUCUGCAAAUUGAAGCUCUAGCACUAGUGCCUCCUGUUCUUCCAACCUGCAAUUAUGCCUAUCAUACUCAUCUAUAGAUUCAUCAGCCAAUUACUUUGGCAACUGAAAUUUGCUUCUAAUAUAUCAUGCUUAUAGAAUUUUUUGUGUACACGAUUGUAAUACGAGAGACUACACCUUUAUCGCGUCUGAGCCAAUUUGUUUGUCAGUUCUCUUUAACUUUAUAGACAGUAGAGUUUUCUAAGAUGUUCACAAGGGGUGGGGAUUCUGAGGAGGGAUCCAGUAAUUGGAAAUGUCGAGUUAUUCAUGAUUUAACUUGAUACUACGGAGUUAUCCAUUUUCAAAAUGAUUAUCGACCCGUUGCUGGAAGCUGGAUAGAUUUCAGGUUUUAGUUGUAUGUACUUCAAGGUGGUUGAUCUAUUGUUCUUGAGGUUUGCGAGAGUUACAUUUUUACUCCAAUCUGGUUGCCUCCUAAAACUCUAUAGAAAGCAAAAUCAAGUUUGUCUCUGCCAAUGUCUGCAGCGCCCGUCAGUCCUACAACAUAUGCUGUCGAGAAGCAAGAACCAGCCAAAAUGGAUGACUCUUACAUGGCUACGUGGAGGACAUGAAAGCCUCUCGUUCACUUGAUGGAGAACAGAGUUCAGGGUUGGCUAUGUUCAACUUUUGUUCGCUGCUCGGUUCGUUCUUCGAGCCCUGCUUCUCCCUUCUCCCUCUCGCUCGAUUUACUGUCGAGUUUAUAUAGUUGGCUACUAUAUUUGCCUGAUACUGUGAAAAGUUAAGAGAAAAAUGUGUUUAUAAUGUUUAGGUGUAUGAUUGCUGCACCAACAGUGUACAAAAGUUGCAUUCAAAUUCUAUUUGUUUUCUACGGA